rnacentral:tRNA from 1 species
AGCUCAGUUGGUAGAGCAGAGGACUGAAAU